GGGGUCUGUGUGGAGCGUUGUGCAAGAGAGGAUAGGCGUUUCUGUUCAGUGGAUAAUUCUGGCGCAUCCCUCAGGGCCACAGCGACAACUUAAUGAUAGUCAGAAUCCAAAUCUGAAUACCACCCAGCGGCCGAAUAAAGGCAAGGGACGUGUUCCCAUCUUCCCUGGAAUUGGCCAAGUGCGAAUGUGGGCAUCGCUUUAAGAAAUGUGGCAGAGGAAUGAGGGGAGGUUGCUGGGCUAUUUAUUUGAGAUUUUGGAUUUGCUUGUCACUAUGUUACCUUAAUCAUCUGUUGUAUUAUUGGUUUUGUCAUUAUUGUCGAUUAUUUAUUUGGCUUUCCCCUGGAAUUUAUGGAUUUGUGCUUUUCUUUCGCCCUCUCCCCAUUGUGUUCGAAGUAGGUUACCAU
rnacentral:sRNA from 2 species